ACUGUGAAACUGCGAAUGGCUCAUUAAAUCAGUUAUCGUUUAUUUGAUAGUACCUUACUACUUGGAUAACCGUGGUAAUUCUAGAGCUAAUACAUGCUUAAAACCUCGACUUCGGAAGGGGUGUAUUUAUUAGAUAAAAAACCAAUGCCCUUCGGGGCUCUUUGGUGAUUCAUAAUAACUUAACGAAUCGCAUGGCCUUGUGCCGGCGAUGGUUCAUUCAAAUUUCUGCCCUAUCAAGUUUCGAUGGUAGGAUAUGGGCCUACCAUGCUUUCAACGGGUAACAGAGGAUUAGGGUUCGAUCCUGGAGAGGGAGCCUGAGAAACGGCUACCACAUCCAAGGAAGGCAGCAGGCGCGCAAAUUACCCAAUCCCGAUUCGGGGAGGUAGUGACAAUAAAUACUGAUACAGGGCUCUUUUGGGUCUUGUAAUUGGAAUGAGUACAAUUUAAAUCCCUUAACGAGGAACAAUUGGAGGGCAAGUCUGGUGCCAGCAGCCGCGGUAAUUCCAGCUCCAAUAGCGUAUAUUAAAGUUGUUGCAGUUAAAAAGCUCGUAGUUGAACCUUGGGCCUGGUCUACUGGUCCGCCUCACCGCGUGUACUUUUGGACCGGGCCUUUCCUUCUGGGGAACUUCAUGCCCUUCACUGGGUGUGUUAGGGAUCCAGGACUUUUACUUUGAAAAAAUUAGAGUGUUCAAAGCAGGCCUAUGCUCGAAUACAUUAGCAUGGAAUAAUAGAAUAGGACGUGUGGUUCUAUUUUUGUUGGUUUCUAGGACCGCCGUAAUGAUUAAUAGGGAUAGUCGGGGGCAUCAGUAUUCAAUUGUCAGAGGUGAAAUUCUUGGAUUUAUUGAAGACUAACUACUGCGAAAGCAUUUGCCAAGGAUGUUUUCAUUAAUCAGGAACGAAAGUUAGGGGAUCGAAGACGAUCAGAUACCGUCGUAGUCUUAAACCAUAAACUAUGCCGACUAGGGAUCGGGCGAUGUUAUUAUUUGACUCGCUCGGGCACCUUACGAGAAAUCAAAG
rnacentral:rRNA from 1 species